rnacentral:rRNA from 1 species
GACGAACGCUGGCGGCGUGCCUAAUACAUGCAAGUCGACCUUAGUGGCGAACGGGUGAGUAACACGUGGGUAACCUGCCCAUCAGAAGGGGAUAACACUUGGAAACAGGUGCUAAUACCGUAUACUGAUGGAUGGACCCGCGGUGCAUUAGCUAGUUGGUGAGGUAACGGCUCACCAAGGCCACGAUGCAUAGCCGACCUGAGAGGGUGAUCGGCCACAGUGGGACUGAGACACGGCCCAGACUCCUACGGGAGGCAGCAGUAGGGAAUCUUCGACAAUGGACGAACGUCUGACCGAGCAACGCCGCGUGAGUGAAGAAGGUUUUGGGAUCGUAAAACUCUGUUGUAAGAGAAGAGGUAGGUGACCAGAAAACAAAGGCUAACUACGUGCCAGCAGCCGCGGUAAUAC